GAUGAACGCUGGCGGCGUGCCUAAUACAUGCAAGUCGAGCGAACAGACGAGGAGCUUGCGCCGUUGACGUUAGCGGCGGACGGGUGUGUAACAUGUGGAUAACCUACCUAUAAGUCUGGUAAAACCUCGGAAAACCGGAGCAAAUACCGUAGAAGAUAUUGAACCGCAGGGGUGAAUAGUGAAAGACGGUUGUGGGGGCUCUUAUAGAUGGAUCCGCGCCGCAUGAGGUAGUUGGUAGGGUAACGGCCUACCAAGGCAACGAGGCGUAGCCGACGUGAGAGGGUGGUCGGCCACACGGGAACUGGGACACGGUCCAGACUCCUACGGGAGGCAGCAGUAGGGAAUCUUCCGCAAUGGGCGAAAGCUUUACGGAGCAAGGCCGCGUGUGUGAUGAAGGUCUUCGGAUCGUAAAGCCCUGUUAUUAGGGAAAAACAAAUGUGUACGUAACUAUGCACGUCUUGACGGUACCUAAUCAGAAAGCCACGGCUAACUACGUG
rnacentral:rRNA from 1 species